rnacentral:rRNA from 1 species
UACGUAGGGUGCAAGCGUUAAUCGGAAUUACUGGGCGUAAAGAGCGCGCAGGCGGUCGUUCAAGUCGAGUGUGAAAGCCCCCGGCUCAACUGGGGAGGGUCACUUGAUACUGAUCGACUGGAAGGCAGGAGAGGGAAGCGGAAUUCCCGGUGUAGUGGUGAAAUGCGUAGAUAUCGGGAGGAACACCAGUGGCGAAGGCGGCUUCCUGGCCU